ensembl:lncRNA
CAGCUCCUCUUCCUUGAGGAGAAACCUGAGCCGGACCGAUGAAGAGAUCGGUGAGGAGGAGAAAGAUCUCCAGCAGAGCAUCGUUGCCGAUGGAGACGGCGAAACCAGACUUUCAGAGACCACAGCGUAGAUCCGAACCAUCAACACACACACACUAGAUCAUGCCUUUGGGUGAAAUCUUCACCCCUUCGGACUUUCACUCCGUGACCUAGAUGGUUUUUACUCAGUCUGUUCCAUACAUAGCCAAAAGAGAACGGUAGAGUUAUUAUUAUUAUUAUUAUUACUGUUAUUUAAGUUAUAGGAGUUUUAAAUUAAGGAUCAUGGGUAAAAACGUAGAAGGAAGAGCGACGUCUGCAAGCAUCCUCCUCUCCACGAUGGACUUCUCUUCACUCUAAAUCCUAACUCGCAUCCAUCACCCUGACCGUUCCCUCAAUCAGGGUUGUUCAGCUAGCCGCCAUAAAACUACAGCUCAGGCAGAUAAAUUAUGAAGAAGUAAAAGAGAUCUAUAAAAUCUCAGCUUUGCGAUACGAAGUUCUCUAUAGGAAACGCUUGCAAUCAUCAGCCUCCAACAGGGCAAAACGCUCCAUUUUAUUCUUGUGAGGAAAGAAAUCUUUAGCAUUUUUGUUGAUUUUUGUUUUUUUUUUUUUUAAAAAAAAAAAAAAGAAUUUUGCUUCUGAUCAGCCAGCUGCUGCAGUGUGGAGGUUGUGAAUUUUGCCUUUAAUCUUUUUCACUUAUCAAGCCUUGCUCUGAAAUCUUAUAUAGUCGUGUAUCUCUCUCAUCUCGGUCAAUAUUGCUUUUCAUCUUUUUCUUUUCUUUUUCGCCGGGGAUUAUUACGACGCCUAAGGACGAUGUGACGGUUACGUUCGGGAUUAUGUAAUGCCUACACAUGCACUCGGCAGGAAGAUCCUCCGAAGCAAAAUAUCCGGAAAUUUGUUCGAAAUACAGUUUCAAAUGGAAUUAAUACAUCUUUUUGGCCCUACUUAAGAUCAGUCAACUUUUUCAAUAAGGAUCCGUUCUUAUCAACACUGUAAAUCUGCCAAAUAUUAACGACGGCGUCGGAGAGACCUCAGAAGCGCAUGUGUGAAGGCACACCGUGGUUAUGCGCACAAAUUAGCGGUAAUUUUGCGUGCUCGGGCGUGAAAUGGGGAAGAAUAUAACGUGUCGAGCGGACAAGCUGUUAGCGCAGCUUCGUUUCCCUCGUCCGUGUUUUCUAUGCAUCAGAACUUUUUAUUGCAGAAACGUGUAAAAUGACACCGCGUCCGCUCCUGUUGUGGCUUGUGCGAUAAACGAGAAGGGAUUAUAGAAUAUAUUUAAUACGUCUUUGAGAAGGCUCAUCUGCAUAGCGUCAAAUGAUAUUCGGGGUAGUUUUAUUGUAAAUAAAUAUUUGCGAUUGUCUACAUCGUCUUGUUGUCAAAUGACUAAGUUUCUUUUUUCAGCGUGACGGAAGGAAACUAUCAAAGAGAAAUUAGUAAGCGAGUAAAGCCUGUGGGGUUUCACACGGUUUCGAACACGGCCUUGUCCAACACCCCUUGCCGGUAUCCUUCGGUUCAAUCCACAUUGCUUUCUUCAGGGCCAGUUAAAUACUUUAUUAGCUGUGAACUUUCUUAGAUGACCCACUGGAAGCCGGAGGGAGGACGUGAACACGGCUGUAGGUCUCAGCAGCAGAACUUACCUUACCCAGAAUGCACUUCAGCCUGAUGCUAUAUUAUUAGCUUUUAGAUGUUAAUUUAUUAAUGAAUAAUACUUUAUUCUCGUCAUACGUUUCGGUAGUUACAUUCAGCGUCGCAGAAUGUCUGUACAACAAGUUAAAUCAGUGUUAAAGCUAUAAACAGUCCCUCAGAAUCCUCCCCAGCCCCAGAGGGAGGGGGGAGGGGAGAGAAAAGCAAGAUUUCAGCUACACUAGUGCUCUUUAGUUCAAAAGCAUGGCUACUGAAUAAAUAAAUAAUAAUAAUAAAAAAAAAAGUAAAUAGAUGCAAGCAAUUAGGAAUGUGUAUCUACAAGAGAAUAUAAUGGAAUUCACCUAGUUUGCAUUUCAAAGAGAUUACACAAUUUCUACCAAGAGUAACAGUAAAAAGGGUUUAAAGAUGUCUGGCAUUUAAUCCGCACCAGACCUCAACCUCCCCUCCUAAUGGAUUGCAUGGCUCGAGUGGCAUGCAGCUUAUUUCCUGCUUUCUGCAGGUCGUCUUAAAAGCCUGCUCCCUUUUCAUUACACGGCCUCCAAAAACAUUUGCCUGUUGGGAAAAGGAAGCACCUACUACGGGGGGGAGGAGGGAAAAAAAAAAAAAAAACACGUCUGCUUUGUGAUUCUUAAAGUCACGUUUUCUAAGCAUUUACUUAGUCAUAUAUACUCACUGGGACUUUACGACGAACACCUGGUCGGACACAGUUAUCCAAUCAGCAAAUUAUCACACAAACAGUCGUGCGAUGUAGCGUAAAAGAAAUCGUUCCUGUGCGUCCGUCCCCACCGUGGCCUCGGAUUCCUGUUCUUAGCUGACGGGACGGGAACCUGCUGUUGAAGUCCAUCUGCCUGAAUAUUUGACGUGUUGUGCUUUCUGACAUGCUUUUCAGCUCACCACGGUUGUACAGAGUGGUCAUCGGAGUUACCGCAGGACUUUUUUUUUUUUUUUUUUGCAGCAUUCGGUGUAGACUCUAGACACUUUCUGAAAUAGGUGAACCAGCCCAUUUGGCACCGACAACCGUGCCACGGGACGUCAGAGUCACCGAGAUCACGUCUUGUCCCUCAUUCCGACGUGAACAUUAACUGAAGCGCUUGUCCUGUAUCUGCAUGAUGUUCUGUAUUGUUCCGAACGAGUAGGUGUAACAGUUCUUCCUAAUAAAGCCUAAUCGUUUUCU